GACGAACGCUGGCGGCGUGCUUAACACAUGCAAGUCGAGCGGUAAGGCCCUUUCGGGGGUACACGAGCGGCGAACGGGUGAGUAACACGUGGGUGACCUGCCCUCAGCUCUGGGAUAAGCCUGGGAAACCGGGUCUAAUACUGGAUAUGACUCCAUGACGCAUGUUGUGGGGUGGAAAGCCUUGUGCGGCUGAGGAUGGGCCCGCGGCCUAUCAGCUUGUUGGUGGGGUGAGGCCUACCAAGGCGACGACGGGUAGCCGGCCUGAGAGGGCGACCGGCCACACUGGGACUGAGACACGGCCCAGACUCCUACGGGAGGCAGCAGUGGGGAAUCUUGCGCAAUGGGCGAAAGCCUGACGCAGCGACGCCGCGUGAGGGAUGACGGCCUGGUUGUAACUCUUCUACGCUCCGACGAACGCGAGAGUGACGGUAGGAG
rnacentral:rRNA from 1 species